AUAAUACUAGCAAUAGUUUUCAAGGUAAUGUUUACAAAAAAUUAUAAGGGAUCCACAACAAGAAAGAACUAAGAAAAUAUCUCACUAAAUCAACCACAAGGUUGAUUAGUUUGAAGAGAAAAUUUCUCUUAAAACCCAUGAGGUAGAUAAACAUAUAUGAGAGAUUAUUUCUCUCUCCCUUUUUUUUUUCUUUCUUUUUAUUUCCUU
rnacentral:lncRNA from 1 species